rnacentral:rRNA from 1 species
ACUGCUCAGUAACACGUAGUCAACAUGCCCAGGGGACGUGGAUAACCUCGGGAAACUGAGGAUAAACCGCGAUAAGUCACUACUUCUGGAAUGGGUAAUGACUAAAAUCUACAUGGCCCCUGGAUUGGACUGCGGCCGAUCAGGCUGUUGGUGAGGUAAUGGCCCACCAAACCUGUAACCGGUACGGGCUCUGAGAGGAGGAGCCCGGAGAUGGGCACUGAGACAAGGGCCCAGGCCCUAUGGGGCGCAGCAGGCGCGAAACCUCUGCAAUAGGCGAAAGCCUGACAGGGUUACUCUGAGUGAUUUCCGUUAAGGAGAUCUUUUGGCACCUCUAAAAAUGGUGCAGAAUAAGGGGUGGGCAAGUCUGGUGUCAGCCGCCGCGGUAAUACCAGCACCCCGAGUGGUCGGGACGUUUAUUGGGCCUAAAGCAUCCGUAGCCGGUUCUACAAGUCUUCCGUUAAAUCCACCUGCUUAACAGAUGGGCUGCGGAAGAUACUAUAGAGCUAGGAGGCGGGAGAGGCAAGCGGUACUCGAUGGGUAGGGGUAAAAUCCGUUGAUCCAUUGAAGACCACCAGUGGCGAAGGCGGCUUGCCAGAACGCGCUCGACGGUGAGGGAUGAAAGCUAGGGGAGCAAACCGGAUUAGAUACCCGGGUAGUCCCAGCUGUAAACGAUGCAGACUCGGUGAUGAGUUGGCUUCUUGCCAACUCAGUGCCGCAGGGAAGCCGUUAAGUUUGCCGCCUGGGGAGUACGGUCGCAAGACUGAAACUUAAAGGAAUUGGCGGGGGAGCAC